UAAUAGGAAAUUAAGAGUAUAUGGUGGAUGCCUAGACUAAAAAAGGCGAUGAAAGACGUGACAUGGCUGCGAUAAGCUUCGGGGAGGUGCCUAGUGACCUGUGAUCCGGAGAUGUCUGAAUGGGGAAACCCAAUUGAGUAAACCUCAAUUAUCUUGAUACUUGAUAUCAAGACGCAUACCAAGGGAAGUAAAACAUUUCAGUACCUUGAGGAGUAGAAAACAAUAGUUAUUCUCUAAGUAGCGGCGAGCGAAAAGAGAGAAGCCCAAACCGUAGGUAGCAAUACUUACGGGGUUGUAAGGUGACAAUGUAGAUUUAUCUAGAACAGUUACAAAAUUUAAAAUUAGAAUAAGUUUCUGGAAAGGAACGCCGUAGAGGGUGAUAGCCCCUUGUUCGAAAAUUUUAAAUCUGUUUGAUUGUCAUUCUUGAGUAGCUCAGGACACGAAUAGCUUGAGCGAAUCCGCCGGAACUAACCGGCAAGGCUAAAUACUUUUUUAGAUCGAUAGUGAACUAGUACCGUGAGGGAAAGGUGAAAAGAACCCCGAUGAGGGGAGUGAAAUAGACCUGAAACCAUAUACUUACAAGGAGUCGGAGCGGAUGCAUUUAUGUAUUCCGUCACGGCGUGCCUAUUGAAGAAUGAGCCAACGAGUUUAUCUAUGUUGCAGGCUAAGCUGUUAGAACAGUGGAGCCUUAGGGAAACCGAGUGUUAAUAGCGCGAAAUUUAUGUAGCAUAGAUAAGACCCGAAGCCAGGUGAGCUUGCCAUGAGCAGGAUGAAGUUUGUCGAAAGAUAGAUGGAGGUCCGAACCGGUGACCCGUGCAAUAGUCUCGGAUGACUUGUGGUAAGGAGUGAAAAGCUAAUCGAACCUGGUAAUAGCUGGUUCUCUCCGAAAUAGCUUUAGGGCUAGCGUCGUGUGUUCCUCUUGGGGGUAGAGCACUGGAAGGUUUCGACAGG
rnacentral:rRNA from 1 species